GUGGCCGGCCAUACCAUCCCAGGGUACGCCCGAACCCAUUCCGAACUCGGAAGCUAAGCUGGGAUGGGCCGAUCUGAGUAGUGGGCUCCGAGAGGGCCCGCGAAAAGACGGUGCUGGCCACC
rnacentral:rRNA from 2 species